UGGGGAAUUUUGGACAAUGGGCGAAAGCCUGAUCCAGCAAUGCCGCGUGUGUGAAGAAGGCCUUCGGGUUGUAAAGCACUUUUGUCCGGAAAGAAAUCCUUGGCUCUAAUACAGUCGGGGGAUGACGGUACCGGAAGAAUAAGCACCGGCUAACUACGUGCCAGCAGCCGCGGUAAUACGUAGGGUGCAAGCGUUAAUCGGAAUUACUGGGCGUAAAGCGUGCGCAGGCGGUUUGCUAAGACCGAUGUGAAAUCCCCGGGCUCAACCUGGGAACUGCAUUGGUGACUGGCAGGCUAGAGUAUGGCAGAGGGGGGUAGAAUUCCACGUGUAGCAGUGAAAUGCGUAGAGAUGUGGAGGAAUACCGAUGGCGAAGGCAGCCCCCUGGGCCAAUACUGACGCUCAUGCACGAAAGCGUGGGGAGCAAACAGGAUUAGAUACCCUGGUAGUCCACGCCCUAAACGAUGUCAACUAGUUGUUGGGGAUUCAUUUCCUUAGUAACGUAGCUAACGCGUGAAGUUGACCGCCUGGGGAG
rnacentral:rRNA from 1 species